rnacentral:tRNA from 1 species
AGGGGUGUCGCCAAGCGGUAAGGCAAGCGGCUCUGACCCGCUAACUGCGUUAGUUCGAAUCUAACCACCCCUGCCA